UACAGAGGUGCCAAGCGUUAGGCGGAAUCACUGGGCUUAAAGCGCGUGUAGGUGGGUCGUUAAGGGUCCGCGUGAAAUCCCACGGCUCAACCGUGGAACUGCCGGGCAUACUGGCGAUCUUGAGGCAUUCAGGGGCGAGCGGAACAAGUGGUGGAGCGGUGAAAUGCGUAGAUAUCACUUGGAACGCCAAUGGUGAAAACAGCUCGCUGGGAAUGAUCUGACACUGAGACGCGAAAGCCAGGGGAGCGAACGGG
rnacentral:rRNA from 1 species